rnacentral:rRNA from 1 species
ACGGAAGGCAGCAGUGGGGGAUAUUGCGCAAUGGGGGCAACCCUGACGCAGCAACGCCGCGUGAUGGAAGAAGGUCUUCGGAUUGUAAACAUCUGUUGCAAGGGAAGAAAAACAUGACGGUACCUUGUGAGGAAGCCACGGCUAACUACGUGCCAGCAGCCGCGGUAAUACGUAGGUGGCGAGCGUUGUCCGGAUUUACUGGGUGUAAAGGGCGCGUAGGCGGGACAGCAAGUCAGUCGUGAAAUACCGAGGCUUAACUUCGGGGCUGCGAUUGAAACUGGUGUUCUUGAGUGUCGGAGAGGAAAGCGGAAUUCCUAGUGUAGCGGUGAAAUGCGUAGAUAGUAGGAGGAACACCGGUGGCGAAGGCGGCUUUCUGGACGAUUACUGACGCUGAGGCGCGAAAGUGUGGGGAGCAAACAGGAUUAGAUACCCUGGUA